rnacentral:rRNA from 1 species
UGGCGACCUUAGCGCGGUGGUCCCACCUGACCCCAUGCCGAACUCAGAAGUGAAACGCCGUAGCGCCGAUGGUAGUGUGGGGUCUCCCCAUGCGAGAGUAGGGAACUGCCA